GCAAACUCUCUUUCCUUGAUUCUCCACCUCCAAAAAAAAAAAAAAAAAAAUUGGCUUUAUUGGCUGGAUGGCAUCACUGACUCUAUGGACGUGAGUCUGAGUGAACUCCGGCAGUUGGUGAUGGACACGGAGGCCUGGAGUGCUGCGAUUCAUGGGGUCGCAAAGAGUCAGACACGACUGAGCGACUGAGCUGAACUGAACUGAACUGAAGCUCACAGGAGGAUGGAACAAUGAAUACAAUCAAAUACCCAAAAGCUUCCCUGGUGGCUCAGCUGGUAGAGAAUCCGCCUGCAAUAUGGGAGACUUGAGUUCAGUCCCUGGAGUGGUAAGAGCCCUUGGGGAAGGGAACAGCUACCCACUCGUUAUUCUGGCCUGGAGAAUCCCAUGGACUGUAUAUCCAUGGGGUCGCAAAGAGUUGGACACAACUGAGCGACUUUCAUUUCACUUCAAAUAAAGAUGAUGAAAUGGAGGCCCAGAGAACUCAAGUAACUUGCUUAAGGUCACACAGCUGAUAAUGUGGUACAAGAAUUGAACCUGUGACUGUGACCUUAACCACAGCCCAAACUAUCCCACAGAAGUAGGGGCUAUGAAGACAGAGCAAGAAAGAAAUCUGACAACAAAAACCAGUGUUACAAUCUCUAGCAGAUCCUAUUCAGAGGCAGGAUAGAAAUCUAAAUGACUUUUCCCAUCUCUGAUUUACAGCACAUAAAUAUUCUUAGUCCCAUUUUACCCUAAGAUUUCAAAGCUUCUUUUACUAAAUUACCAUUUUGUUCUUUUUGUUAUUUCUACCCUAUUUCCUUUUGUAAUUUUAAAAAUUUCUACCCUAUUUUCACUUUGCUGACAAAGGUCCGUCUAGUCAAAGCCAUGGUUUUCCCAGUAGUCAUGUACAGACGUGACAGUUGGACCAUAAAGAAGACUGAGCACUGAAAAAUUGAUGCUUUUGAACUGUGGUGUUGGAGAAGACUCUUGAGAGUUCCCUUGGACUUGCAAGGAGAUCAAACCAAUCAAUCCUGAAGGAAAUCAGUCCUGAAUAUUCAUUGGAAGGACUGAUGCUGAAGCUGAAACUCUAAUACUUUGGUCACCUGAUGUGAAGAGCUGACUCACUGGAAAAGACCUUGAUGCUGGGAAAGAUUGAGGGCAGAAGAAGAAGGGUUUCAUCAGAGGAUGAGAUGGUUAGAUAGCAUCACUGACUCAAUGGACAUGAAUUAGAACAAAUUCUGGGAGGUGGUGGAGGACAGAGGAGCCUGGCAUGCUACAGUCCACGGGGUCACAAAGAGUGAGACACGACUUAUCAACUGAACAACAACAACCCUAUUUUCCAUGGUCUUUCAUCCCUGAUUUUCCCAACUUUUAUAUGCCUGGGAAUUUACCAAAUAAUAAAACCAAGUGACUGACUGCCCAGUCUUUCUUAUAGAAAGACCACAAAAUGGGAAUUCCCUGGCAGUCCUGUGGUUAAGACUUUGCCUUCCAAUGCAGGGGGUUCAAUCCCUGGUCAGGAAGCUAAGAGCCCACAUGCCUUGCGGCCAAGAAACCAAAACAUAAAACAGAAG
ensembl:lncRNA